CAAUCACUCGAUUUUUUUGGCCAUGACCAGAUGCACUCAGGCAAUAUUUGCAGAGGCCGGCAACUACUGGAGAAAGGACACCUGAUCCUUCAUCUGAACUUUCUGCAGGAGUAGGGACAUCCAGUAGUAGUACUCCAGGGACCAGUGACACACAGGCCAGGAACACACAGCCUGCAUCAAGUGAAGGUGAAGGGACACCCAGGACCACAUCAUGCACUCAGGGCACCAGUCAAAGACAGACGACUGAGACCAGGGACACGCAGCCAAUUGAUCAAAUGGAAAUGGCACUCCUUCAAGCUGAAAGGAGGAGGUGGCGUGAAGUCCUGACC